rnacentral:rRNA from 1 species
GACGAACGCUGGCGGUGUGCCUAAUACAUGCAAGUAGGACGCAGUUGCGAACGGGUGAGUAACGCGUAGGUAACUGCCUAUUAGAGGGGGAUAACUAUUGGAAACGAUAGCUAAUACCGCAUACUAGUAGAUGGACCUGCGUUGUAUUAGCUAGUAGGUAGGGUAAUGGCCUACCUAGGCGACGAUACAUAGCCGACCGGGGGGGGGGAUCGGCCACGCUGGGACUGAGACACGGCCCAGACUCCUACGGGAGGCAGCAGUAGGGAAGCAUCGGCAAUGGGGCAAACCCUGACCGAGGAACGCCGCGUGAGUGAAGAAGGUUUUCGGAUCGAAAAGCUCUGUUGUUCAGGAAGCGGUACUUAACCAGAAAGGGACGGCUAACUACGUGCCAGCAGCCGCGGUAAUUC